UAUCUUUGCAGAUUGAUUAUCAUCUAGUCCUGAUCCUCUCACGGGUCGGAGUUUUGCUAGACUCGACUAAGUGGUGAUCUGGUGCGAGCUGAUGAUUGUCUGAAGUUGGAUAAGCUCUUUCACCUCUGGAGGCGGUUAUCGGUUUGAUUGAAAUUUGUUCUCCAGUCCCAUAAUUUUCCAAUUAAUGCAAAACCUGAUUCUCAUUCCUUCGGAGUUCGGUGUUUUAUUGAUGUAUGACCUGUGAUGGUUCUUUGCAAGGUGUAUGCAUCACAACAGAUUACUAUCUAAUACGGAUCCGCUUGCUGGUGUUUCCUUCCCAGAAAUAGUCCCUUCCUCAUGUUCUCUUCGUGCAUCUAUGAUUGUGCAUGCAUUCCUCAAUCGGCUGACACCCUUACUCUUCAAAGGAGACAUCGUUCCUGAAAACGCACUCCUGGCCUGUCUUCUUUUCUUUUUAUUUCUUGAUUGGUUUUAAAAUCAGUCUGAUUCUGUUUACGCUAUGUUAUUUUCUGAAGGAAUGCCUGGCCUCUCUUGGACUCUGCCAUGUUGUGGGCAGUGUUAAGGUUAUUGCUCAUCUGACCGUUGGUUGAUUUAUCAUUGAUUGAUCUUUCCAUUGUAUCAUGAGCUGAUUCUGGCAUUAACUAUUCCUUGAAUUGGCAGUGGUUUCUUUCUUCUCGGAGCAAUCAUUUUCUCUGAGGAUGAUGUCUGAGAGGACAAUGAAUAUGAUCCAGCUGGACAAACGAUGGACUGAAAUUUUGACAACCUUCUAGGCUUCUUUUUCAAAUGGAAAGUUUUACUGGUUUUGACAGCUGGUGAUCUGUUGCGUUUUCUGUGGGGCUGAGUUGAUAAUUGUUCAAAAUUAUCAGAUUUUGGUCGAGGCAAUACUUUACGUGGCCAAGUUCGAUAUGGAGUGUCUAUGAUCUGUGAUGUUCUUUCUUGCUGCAUAAACAUCAAUUUCUGAUUUGUCUUCCACUUAUGUUAUCGUCUAGUUAAGGUGGUUAUCAUCUAGUUGAGGUGGAACAAUCAGUUAUUCUCUUUUCUUCGCAGGUCAUAGUUUGGUCAAGGCAAUACCUUACCUCGUCAAUUUCGAGAUGGAGUGUCUGUGGUCCAUGAUGGUUCUUUCUUGCUGCAUAAGAAUUAAUUCAUAGGACAAGCUCUCCUUUCAGAGUGCUUUCUUGUCUGAAAAGUUCUACACAAUUGGUUUCACUUCGGGGCAAAGUGGUAGCAUCUUAUUUCGAAAUGACGUACUUCAGAUAUCUAUCGCAAUAUGCAUUCUUAAUCUUUCUUAUAUUGUUUCUAUUUGGUAAUGGAAGAUGAUGGAUGAUACCAGUCGCUCUUUGGGAGAUUAGAGACUAUUUUAUCUUUGGGAUUGGAUUGGAAACUUUUGAUUAGUAUGUCUUACCUUUUUCUUUGAUGGAAACUAUCCUGCAUUUUAUUUAUCAUGGACUUUUUCCUUUCAACAUACUUUGUUACACAUUCAUUUCGAAAUACGUUUCUUGCAUAUGAAUUUGUUUUGACUUGGUGUGUAUGUCUGCUUGAAUUUUGUGUCAAUGAAAUGUUAAAUUUGGUUUAUUUGAAGAAAGUGUUUAUAUUUUUAUGAGAUUGAUGUUGUCUGCAUGUUGCAUCUUUCCUCUUGUAGCAAUCUCUUCAUCCGAGCAUGUCGUCUAAGAAUGACAAAUACAUAGAAGCUGGAUGAGCGAAUUUUGAGGAUUUAUAGGCAUCUUGUAGUUUUGAUUUAAGUUUGUCUUCAGUUGAUUAUCUUCCGGAGCAGUGAGAUAAUUAUUAUUGAGUUCUAAUUCCUCUACUGGAAGCUUUUCCAUGUUGAGAAGUGGUGUGAUCUAUUGCCUUCUUCUGUAGGGUGAGUUGAUGAUUGUUUGAAAUUGGAUAAACAGCCAUUUUGUGGAUUCUAAGGACUGGUAUAUAUGAUGAGGUUGGUCAAUUAUUACUUAGAAUGACUGAGCUUUUCUUGAGUUUGACGAUCUAUUCACAUCUAUCUUCGGUUGGGUUGGUGUAUGGGCAGUGUCCUUGAUCAUCUCGAGGACCAGUUGAAGAGCUGAAAUUUUGAUAAACUCCUGCUGCGUAGGCACUUUGUUGAAUGUCAUUCCUCAGUUGAUUCCCUUGGAGUGGAAAGAUGACGAUUCAGCUUUUUCUGUAUGGCUAAGUUGAUGAAUUGCGGAGUCUGCGCUUUGUUUGAAAUUGGAUAAGCUCCCCCUUCUUGGAUUUGGUUCCUUUGAUGUCUUCACUCUACAUGUGUACAUGGAUGAAUCCUUAAUCAAUUAAUAUUUUGGCCAUGCUAUGAUAGGGUGUGCGAGAACAAGCUCGACUUAUGCUUUGAGGGUUUGAAAUUUGACAAAAGAUCGUGGAUUGUCAUUGGAUGGCCUCUGUUGGACAUACUUGCAAAAGGAGAGUACUAAGUCUGCUUAGUUGCAAUAAGAUAUCUGUAUGGAUUUUUGCUUAGGCGAUAUUCUCCCCUUCUAUAAUACUUUCUUCUGGCACCGUCAUUGUUGGGGACAGUUUACAAGUGAGGGUUUUUGUAUGUGAGAUGGGUUGUUUUUAGUGUGUAGGGUGCCACCUUGGGGCCUAAAUUGUGAAUAUUUUAGGUUCUCGUGUAUCCAUGGGACAAUGAAGGCUUUUCUGCACGGACCCAAGUCAUACUCCAUUGCAAACUGUUAGCAUCUCAUUCUGAAAAGAUGAACUAUGCUGUGCUUUUGCCUGUUUGCAUGAUUGGCAUAUGUGAUCAGGUCUCACAUGGGGAUGUUGACCGGACAGCCAUAUGGACAUAACUACCUUGGCAUUGCUUGCGCUUGGACCGGUUCUCUCCUUUCUGCUGAUUCUCUCAUUUCUUAUUCAUCACAAAGCUGUGUUGUUUCAUGUAUGCUGUCUGCAGACAUGGCUGGUCAAGCUGGGAGGAGCAGACACUUGGUGCUUGGUUGCCAUGUUUGUCAAAUUUUGUAGUUAUUUUUAAAUCGGUGAAGCUGAAGGGGCAGACAACAAUCCUGUAGUGAAUAAGCUUUGGUUUGAGUUUUUAGCAUAUCUAGCGAGGAUAGACCCCUUCUGAUCUCUUAUGAUACCCUAAUGUACGACAGGUGAACUUCUACUUCGUAUAUAUGAUCUAAAUUUAAUAAAGCAAACCUGUUUAGGGCUAUGAACUUAUACAUGUCCAAUUGCAUCAUGAUCCUUUGCGAAUGAUGAUCUGUCGACCAGAUAUUUACUGUAUCUCUUUCUCAUCGGCUCUACAAGGGUUGUUCGAAGUCAUCUUCCUUGUAAUUGGAGAUACUUGACGGUUGCCUCAUGAUCAGGUUUAUUUGCUUUGGUAUUUUCUUUGAAGGGAUGAAUUUUGAAGCAUCUGGUUGGGUCUAUGUCCAGAACAAUGUUGGCGAAGGCUCUGAUUUUGGAUAGAAAGCUUAUCAAAGUUAUUAAGGUUCAAAGUCUCCCUCUGAUCAUACUAAUUUUGUGGCGUCCAUGCUGUAUGGACUUAUUCAGUUUUCCACGGGUGCUUGUUCCAGUUUAGAGCGAUCUAACUGAGGACCGUGUAAUCAAAACUGUUAGAGAAUCCAAGUUCUUGAGUUGGGAAGGCAGGAGGUUGUUAUUUAAUGCAAUUAUGUUUAGUUGAGCUACUGAAUUGUUGUUUUCCUUUUUAGAUCGGAGUGAUGAGAGCUGGUUCUGGAUCUUUCUACAGGGAUUGUCUGAUUGUUUUAUUUUCAAGGAUUAGAGGAGAUGCGAUGAACAUAGAGUUCUCUCAUGUUGUGAGUUGGAGUCCUUUUGUUGCAGAUCAUUCUGAAUUCGACCUGGUUUGUGUUGUAGUGUAUUUGAGUUAGCAAGCUUUUGCUUUUUGCUUCUCCUGGGGUAUUUUUAUAUAAGUAGUUUUUUGGGUUCCAGUUCAAGUAUCUCUCUUUGAUGAUGUCGUGCUCUCUAUCUUCAUCUACAAACCUCACUGAAUAAAUUUACAAUUACUACAGUUGAGUCUUGUGUCCAAGGCUAAGUCUCGUUGUUGCUUAGGUUGGUCAUAUGUGGCUACUUUUUGCUGCUUCUGGGGGUAUUUUUGGUAUAAUUGGUUAAUUUUGGGUGCCAGUUCAAGUCUCUCUUUUUGAUAAUAUCGUCCGCUCAUCUUUUUCUGUGAACUUCAUUGGAUAAAACUCCUAUUGAGUCCUGUUUCUAGGCUAAUUCUAGUUGCUGCUUUGCUGGUGGCACACAUGGAUGGCAGUUUGGCUUGUCAGAUGCUUCUAGAUUAUACUUGAGAGAUGAGAAACUGAUUGCAGAUAUUCACCAACAUCAUGGCAGAUUAUUCAUUUCUACUUUCAAUUGGUUUGUUGCAGUCCGUAGAAGCUCUCUCUUGGUGAUUCUCUUUAUAUUGAAGUUCCAGAGGUCCACCCCUAUAUUGCGGAGAUUCUUGAGGGUUUCGCUUGCCCUACAAUCUUUAUUGGCAUCUGGCGAUAUCAUCUUCUUCCAGAGAGAAGAAGUAGCGAUUAUCCCGAUCGAGCGUUCUCCAUCGGCCUUUCUCCUUUUUGGUUUCUGUUUCUUGAUCGGGGAUUGAUUGCUUUCUCGGGCUGAUUUUGUGAAGCAUUUGGUUGCAGAAGACUCAAUGUUGUGGAGAUUUUUGAGGGCUUGGCUCGGCCUACGGUUCCUAUUUGGUUAUUGGAUUCUUUGGUUUAUGCCUCGUCCCUUCGAUCGCUUAGUGAUUCAUUGACCGAUCGAUUAAACUUUGGGUUGUUGUUUUGACCAGCUCCUUCUGGAUUCUCGUUGUUCGGUGAAUUGGCAGUGUGGCUUCUUUCUUUCAUAUGAGGAUGCUGUCGCAGCAAGUGUUUGGUUUAGACCUCCUUUUCUGACCGGUU